AUUGAACGCUGGCGGCAGGCCUAACACAGGCAAGUCGAGCGAGCGACGGACGGGUGAGUAAUGUCUGGGAAACUGCCUGAUGGAGGGGGAUAACUACUGGAAACGGUAGCUAAUACCGCAUACCAUCUGAUGUGCCCAGAUGGGAUUAGCUAGUAGGGGGGGUAACGGCUCACCUAGGCGACGAUCCCUAGCUGGUCUGAGAGGAUGAACAGCCACACUGGAACUGAGACACGGUCCAGACGCCUACGGCAGGCAGCAGUGGGGAAUAUUGCACACUGGGUGAAAGCCUGAAGCAGCCAUGCCGCGUGUGUGAAGAAGGCCUUCGGGUUGUAAAGCACUUGCAGCGGGUAGACGUUACCGGCAGAAGAAGCACCGGCUAACUCCGAGCCAGCAGCCGCGGUAAUAC
rnacentral:rRNA from 1 species